UGCUUGCCCUUCUUGUGAUGAAGCCAAGUGUGUCCCUGGAGAGGCUGUUGAAUCUAGAACUGCUUUAAGGGGAGUUGUGGGUCUGUAUGUGUCUCCCAUACCAAUCUGGUGAGGCAGAGCUACAGGGUAGCCAGAAGCCAGGGUUUCCAUGACACAGGUCCAGUUCUGCAUGGUAUGAGAUAGAAUCUGGUAAAAUAUUCUGAGUUAUUCUUGGAGAUCUGUACGACAUCUUCAGUAUCUUGAUUACUUGUGGGAAUUUAAAUAAUUUUAACCUCAUUUUAUGCUUGUUUUAU
rnacentral:lncRNA from 1 species